CGAUAGAGGUUGCGGCGAUCAAGAUUAGUCACCGGCAAUAGUCAAAGGGAGACUGCCGGGAGAUGAAAGGGGGAGCCGCCGAAGAUUACCAUGGACCCUUAACAUGGAGAUCUGGGCCGUCAUACAAUAUAUGACGUACUGUCACAUCGGGACGUGCAAGAGGCACCGUCUGUGUGGAGCGCUAUCA
rnacentral:ncRNA from 2 species